ensembl:lncRNA
CUGCAUUCUUCUCAGAUGAUAUUCAAAACCUGCCUGGACACCUUCCUGUGCUACCUGCUCUGGGUGGACCUGCUUUGGCAGGGAGCAUGGACUAGAUGAUCUCCAGAUGUCCCUUCCAACCACGUAUCGUUCUGUGAUUCUGUGUUAGCUAGAUGCCUACCAUUUGUGUAUGAGGAUUGAAUGAGUGUGUUUGUGUGGGUUCAGUUUUGUUGUGGUCUGCCAAUUCAUGUGUGUACCACAUAUGCAUACCUAGUAUCCUUAUCUUAAAUUAUUAAUUAAAUACUGCCUCGACUGCUGUUCCAGAUAAUCUGUGCUGACUUGUUCCCUGUUUGAGAUGCAGGCUUUCCAGUUCAUGCAGCUCUCUCUACUGGUCAACCAGUAUAAUCAGAUAUGUGUUAAUAAAAGCUCAGUCAGAAUUUUUCCUUCAGUAUAUGCCUGUCUUUUCUUACUUAAGGAUCAGGAGGUGUCACUGGAGUUGCCUUUCUCUUCAAGUCCUUUCAAGAUAACUGAAUACUUAAAUUGUGUAAUUCUACCUCACCCUAUGUUGUGUUCCAGUGUAAGAGAUUUUUUGAAGACAGAGGAAUACAAGGAAGUCUUGAAUGUGAUAUUAACAAGGACUACAAUAGUUGCACUGUAAAGAGCCUGUGAUCAAUGAACAAGUACUUGUUUCUGCCUCUUUUUAGGUGUUGUUUCUAAUGAACACAAAGGUGAUUUUGUAUUCAUCCUGCUUAAGAUGUUUGUGAUAAUCAAAUCAGUGUGAAACUACACUGGGGGAGGCUUAUCCUAUUCCUAAGCUUUUUCCUGGGCAUGCUUUCUUGGCCACUGUUAGAAGAACAGCGGGAUGUGACUUUGGUCUGAUCCUGUAUGCCUGUUCUGAAGCAAAUGAACAAACAAAUGGCUUCAAAAAAAACUGUACUGGGAGAGAAUUAACUCUCAAAAUCACGUUCUCAUGUUGUAGUUUAGGUGCAGAAUUAAGUACAAAUAACAGAAUUGUUCUGUGCUUUCUGUUUGAAACGGAAAACUAGUCUGAAAUCACACAAUGUGCUAAACAUUUGAGGCUGGCUGAGGAAGGACCUCUACCUUUUGGUCUUAUGGGUCACUCUGAAACAUGCUUACUGGAUCUCUGCCAGUAAGAAAAAGGCGUGAUUAGAGUGGAAUGCUCAGAAAAGCAAAAAAUGACUAAGUGUAUGGAGUAUGCUUUGUGUACGUUACACCUCAAAACUGCUAUAAAUGUAUGUUCAUAAAGAAAUAGAAGAACCUUAGUUGCUAUGGCUAAAUUCUCUACAGAUGUUUAAAAACAGGGGCUGGAUUUACAGAUGUUCAGAAUGGUUGUUAUAUAGCAGUUUGAGGAAAAGGAGAAAUGAAUGCUUCAUAUAGCUCAAAGAAAGGGAAGUGAUAGGCUAAUGAAGAACUGUUUCGUAACUAGUGAGUGUGAAGAAUUGAGCCUUUCCUUCGUUGUUCAUCAGAUAUCAUGAAGUGUAGGUAUUCUAGAAAUAUUUACUUCAGGAGAGAAAGCACUGCUGAUUAUGAGGAUCAAGAGACAUUAAAGACAGGACAAUGGGGCUCAUAUGGAAGGAAGCAAAUAUUUAAGAGUUCAGCUUUUGAAUCAAGAAACAUAUAUGUUCUGAGUGUUCAAU